CCUACGGGGGGCAGCAGUGAGGAAUAUUGGUCAAUGGACGAGAGUCUGAACCAGCCAAGUAGCGUGAAGGAUGACUGCCCUAUGGGUUGUAAACUUCUUUUAUAUGGGAAUAAAAUGUUCCACGUGUGGGAUUUUGUAUGUACCAUAUGAAUAAGGAUCGGCUAACUCCGUGCCAGCAGCCGCGGUAAUACGGAGGAUCCGAGCGUUAUCCGGAUUUAUUGGGUUUAAAGGGAGCGUAGGUGGAUUGUUAAGUCAGUUGUGAAAGUUUGCGGCUCAACCGUAAAAUUGCAGUUGAAACUGGCAGUCUUGAGUACAGUAGAGGUGAGCGGAAUUCGUGGUGUAGCGGUGAAAUGCUUAGAUAUCACGAAGAACUCCGAUUGCGAAGGCAGUUCACUGGACUGCAACUGACGCUGAGGCUCGAAAGUGUGGGUAUCAAACAGGAUUAGAUACCCCUGUAGUC
rnacentral:rRNA from 1 species